AAACAUUGCCCGACCAUAAUGCGUAAUGUACCCCUUGGUCGGGGCUAGAAAAUGCUAGCGGUCAUAUUUGUAAACACAAGUUUUGUGAGCUGCUCUCACUUUAUUAUGGAAUUGAAAAAUGGACACCCUUGAUAAUGAUAGUUGAUGAAGUUAUGGCUCGGGAACAGGAAGAGCCAAAGUAUUCUGCUGAUAUGAAGGCGUUGAAGUUUAGUAAAGUGCAUUUCGGAAUGUUUUACGGUGCUUGUAGGUAUAGUGAUUACCUUUCGCUCAAAACGAAAAUUUUCUUCCAUAGGAUAAGUGAAAGCAACAGCAAAAGAUGUUCCCGUUCCGGCGUCAUUUUAGCAUCAUCUUGUUUGUAGCCAAGUUGUAGUUGUUGUUGUUGUAGUUGUUUUUUAAAACAAAUUACACUAUAUCAUCAACUGUCCUGUGCUAUGGUGGGAAUAUAUCCCCCCAUACUAGUAUCUUUCUAGCAGUAGAUUAAUCGAUCAUAUCAGAUUUUUCAAUGCAGUUGUCGUGCAAAAUUUGUGUGAGAAACAUCGUGUUUUUGAAUGGUAUACAUUCUUAACAACCCGUUGUUGAUAUGGUCAAGUCUAC